rnacentral:rRNA from 1 species
UACGAAGGGGGCUAGCGUUGCUCGGAAUCACUGAGCGUAAAGGGUGCGUAGGCGGGUUUUUAAGUCAGGGGUGAAAUCCUGGAGCUCAACUCCAGAACUGCCUUUGAUACUGAAGAUCUUGAGUCCGGGAGAGGUGAGUGGAACUGCGAGUGUAGAGGUGAAAUUCGUAGAUAUUCGCAAGAACACCAGUGGCGAAGGCGGCUCACUGGCCCGGUACUGACGCUGAGGCACGAAAGCGUGGGGAGCAAACAGG